CAAUAGCGUAUAUUAAAGUUGUUGCAGUUAAAAAGCUCGUAGUUGGAUUUCGGGGUGGCCUGCCUGGUCCACCGCAAGGUGAGUACUGGUCAGCCGCCCUUCCUCCCGAAAGCCCCGACUGCUCUUCAUUGCAGUGGUCGGGUAGUUCGGGACGUUUACUUUGAAAAAAUUAGAGUGUUCAAGGCAGGCUAUCGCCUGAAUACAUUAGCAUGGAAUAAUGGAAGAGGACCUCGGUCCUAUUUUGUUGGUUUCUAGGGCCGAAGUAAUGAUUAAGAGGGACAGUUGGGGGCAUUCGUAUUUAAUUGUCAGAGGUGAAAUUCUUGGAUUUAUGAAAGACGAACUAGUGCGAAAGCAUUUGCCAAGGAUGUUUUCAUUAA
rnacentral:rRNA from 1 species